ensembl:snoRNA
UCAUAGUAACUCAUGCCAGAGCAAACUGUGUCCCCAAACCAUUGCCUGGCCUCUGUGCCCGUAGGCUGCUGGCACUGAAGUGACUUGCCCAGUG